rnacentral:misc_RNA from 1 species
ACAAUUAUAAUCCAAUCCACACCCGUCUUGGCUUCCACGAUCAUCAUCCAUCAGUGGGUGGUGGCAGUGGAGGCCGCUGACAAAACAAACAAAAACACUAACAUUCAACAUAUUGACAACUAAUGGAGAACCAAACAAACACAAAAGCGAGCUGAAAAGCAAA